GAUGAACGCUGGCGGCGUGCCUAAUACAUGCAAGUCGAGCGAACGGACGAGAAGCUUGCUUCUCUGAUGUUAGCGGCGGACGGGUGAGUAACACGUGGAUAACCUACCUAUAAGACUGGGAUAACUUCGGGAAACCGUAGCUAAUACCGGAUAAUAUUUUGAACCGCAUGGUUCAAAAGUGAAAGACGGUCUUGCUGUCACUUAUAGAUGGAUCCGCGCUGCAUUAUCUAGUUGGUAAGGUAACUGCUUACCAAGGCAACGAUGCAUAGCCGACCUGAGAGGGUGAUCGGCCACACUGGAACUGAGACACGGUCCAGACUCCUACGGGAGGCAGCAGUAGGGAAUCUUCCGCAAUGGGCGAAAGCCUGACGGAGCAACGCCGCGUGAGUGAUGAAGGUCUUCGGAUCGUAAAACUCUGUUAUUAGGGAAGAACAUAUGUGUAAGUAACUGUGCACAUCUUGACGGUACCUAAUCAGAAAGCCACGGCUAACUACGUG
rnacentral:rRNA from 1 species